AUUGAACGCUGGCGGCAUGCUUUACACAUGCAAGUCGAACGGUAACAGGCCUUCGGGCGCUGACGAGUGGCGAACGGGUGAGUAAUGCAUCGGAACGUGCCCAGUCGUGGGGGAUAACGCAGCGAAAGCUGUUCUAAUACCGCAUACGAUCUGCGGAUGAAAGCGGGGGACCUUCCGGCCUCGCGCUCUUGGAGCGGCCGAUGUCGGAUUAGGUAGUUGGUGGGGUAAAGGCUCACCAAGCCAACGAUCUGUAGCUGGUCUGAGAGGACGACCAGCCACACUGGGACUGAGACACGGCCCAGACUCCUACGGGAGGCAGCAGUGGGGAAUUUUGGACAAUGGGCGCAGGCCUGAUCCAGCAAUGCCGCGUGCAGGAAGAAGGCCUUCGGGUUGUAAACUGCUUUUGUACGGAGCGAAAAGGCUCCCUCUAAUACAGGGGGCUCAUGACGGUACCGUAAGAAUAAGCACCGGCUAACUACGUGCCAGCCGCCGCGGUAACAC
rnacentral:rRNA from 1 species